UGGGGGAUCGUCUAGCGGUAGGACGCCGGGUUCUGGCCCCGGUAACGGGGGUUCGAGUCCUCCUCCCCCAGCCA
rnacentral:tRNA from 1 species